GACGAAGGGGGCAAACGUUGCUCGGAAUCAUUGGGCGUAAAGCGCACGUAGGCGGUCCGUUAUGUCGGGUGUGAAAGCCCUCGGCUUAACCGAGGAAGUGCAUUCGAAACUGGCGGACUUGAGUACCGGAGAGGGUCGCGGAAUUCCCGGUGUAGAGGUGAAAUUCGUAGAUAUCGGGAGGAACACCAGUGGCGAAGGCGGCGACCUGGACGGAUACUGACGCUGAGGUGCGAAAGCGUGGGGAGCAAACAGG
rnacentral:rRNA from 1 species